rnacentral:tRNA from 1 species
GCGGGCUUAGCUCAGUUGGUAGAGCGUCAGUUUCCCAUACUGAAGGUCACCGGUUCGAGACCGGUAGCCCGCUCCA